AACGAACGCUGGCGGCAGGCCUAACACAUGCAAGUCGAGCGAGACCUUCGGGUCUAGCGGCGGACGGGUGAGUAACGCGUGGGAACGUGCCCUUUUCUACGGAAUAGCCUCGGGAAACUGAGCGUAAUACCGUAUACGCCCUUGGGGGAAAGAUUUAUCGGAGAAGGAUCGGCCCGCGGUGGAUUAGGGAGUUGGUUGGGUAAUGGCCUACCCAGCCUACGAUCCAUAGCUGGUUUGAGAGGAUGAUCAGCCACACUGGGACUGAGACACGGCCCAGACUCCUACGGGAGGCAGCAGUGGGGAAUCUUAGACAAUGGGGGCAACCCUGAUCUAGCCAUGCCGCGUGAGUGAUGAAGGCCUUAGGGUUGUAAAGCUCUUUCAGCUGGGAAGAUAAUGACGGUACCAGCAGAAGAAGCCCCGGCUAACUCCGUG
rnacentral:rRNA from 1 species